rnacentral:rRNA from 1 species
UACAGGGGGGGCAAGCGUUGUUCGGAAUUACUGGGCGUAAAGGGCUCGUAGGCGGCCAACUAAGUCACACGUGAAAUCCCCAGGCUUAACCUGGGAACUGCGUGUGAUACUGGAUGGCUUGAAUCCGGGAGAGGCAAGGGGAAUUCCACGUGUAGCGGUGAAAUGCGUAGAGAUGUGGAGGAACAGCUGUGGCGAAGGCGCCUUGCUGGCCGAUUUCUGACGCUGAGGCGCGAAAGCGUGGGGAGCAAACAGG